AGAAUCCCAAAAUGGAGGAAGCUGGGGAACUCCUUUCAAGUGCACUGGCAAGCAAACCCACUGUCCUCUGAAAGGGGAGGAUUGUGGUUUUACCAGAUUGACGAUGAUUACUUUUCCCUGAGUAUUAUUGGAUCACGCUUUCGAGAGGCAGAUCCCUAUGGCUCAUGAUGACACUCCUAAACAAGCAAGAAUGGGAAAGCAGAACCAGUUACUGGCAUUUUGAAAAAGUUACUCAGAGGAAGGCUGCUGCAGAGCUUGCUCAACUUCAGUAUACCAUGAAUGCAGGAUGCUGCCAGUCAUAUGAAGGAUCCUCUGCUUCACAUUAUGAAAGAAAGACGUGAGCUACAAACCUGAAUSCAACCUGGAAUUUCCAAACAGAUGUGACAGCUUUUUCCAGAGUCCAGUUAUCAGGCAAAAGGACCAUCCAGAGAGCUGGAAAUCCAAUACCAACCAACUCUAAAAAGGAAAGUUYGUGCUUUUGAAAUAUAUUCCUGCAACAAAGGAUUUGAGAGAGGAGAUAUCCRUAAAAAWAGGUAUGUAUUUAGUUAG